UAGCAAUGGCAUUAACAUUCGUUCUUUAGUGUUCUACUAUUUCCAAAACGAGAGAGAGAAAAAGUGCGUUCGAUAUAUUAAUCUACAACUACACUUGAAUUUUCAAAAAUAAAAGAUUAUAUUUUCCUGCAUAAUGGUGCUUCUGUUACCUAAAUACAGUCUACAACAGCCAACAGAAAAUAGCACAAGUAAUAAAAACUUUUUGCUACCAAGCAAAUCAGGCGGAAUUAUAAAUAAAAGAAGUGCGGAAGUUAGGACAUUAUUAGAUGACGAUUUUCCGUCAAAAGAAGACAACUUUUAGAUUAGAAUGAUUCAAUGAUAACAUCAAUCAAAGGAUAACAACAAUCGGGAAUAUAUAAUCGACCUGUGGCAAAUUACUUUGGAAAAUGAAAAUCCUUCUGCAAUAUAAUCUAGAUGCGGAUUCUUGUUAUAUUUUAAUUGAGUUUCAAAUUUGACUUUA